UUGUAGCCAUGAUGUGAAAGUCAUAAUCAGCAAGAAGACUGAUGAGAGCAGAUGAAAUGUGCUUGCUCAGACACUGCAUACCAGUGUAAGUGUAGAAACAGUCCCAGGGGAGAGAAAAAUAUCCCAUUUUACUUUCACUGCUGGUUCUUCAGAAAUGAAUCUCAGAGAAAAUGGGAGGGGAAAACAGAGUCAUCAUAGCCUGCGUCUUUGUUAAAGGAAAGCUGGGAGACAGAGAAGGCUGUGGGAAGCUCAAUAUGCUGAGAGGGGCAGCUGGACCUCAAGAGAUCAAGUCAAACCCCUCUAUUAAAGCAGAAAAACACAGUGAAGACACUUAUCACAGCAAGACCACAUCAGCGGUAUACUCUUGCCUGAGGUCUACCUUGCUCAAAUCACAGUCCCUGAGGGAGUUCAUGAGGCAGUGGAGGAGGUGAAAAUAACCUCUAUAUUUGAAUACUACGAAAGUCAAGACAUCACAAAGAAGGAACAUCAGCCUAAACACUGAACAUCCUGGCUUUCAUGGUUUAUAAAAAGAAGAAAAUAGGAUCAAAACAUUAUUUAUUUAUUUAUUUUCCCUCGGAGAUACAGCAGCAGCUUUGAUUUCCUUAAUUACACCCAGAAUGCUCAAAAGGUCAUAGUCCAAUUUUGGUUACUAUUCAGGAAGCUGAGGGAAUAACUUGGAGCUUUUUUUCACCUUCUUUUACAAUCCAGCAAGGCUUCCUUCUUUCUUUUACCAGAACAGCUACAUCCUCCUGAGGUUUGGCCAGCGUGCAACUAGUCAGUCAACAGGAAAUUAUUUACAGUUUAAUUUUUCAUCAUUUGUGAUAACAAAAAAUGCCUGAAGGUUUGUAAUCCAAUGACAAUCUCCCCCCCUCCCUUGCUGAGAUAAAAUGGAGUGUUUAACUCUGUUUCUGCAUGCGUUUUAUUUACAAAUAAACAGAGGCAGGUUAAACUUCAUUGAACUUAUUUUCUUUGCUUUUCCACUCUGGAUGCAUGGGAAACCCUGAG